UACGUAGGGCGCAAGCGUUGUCCGGAUUUAUUGGGCGUAAAGAGCGUGUAGGCGGCCAGGUAGGUCUGCUGUGAAAACUCGAGGCUCAACCUCGAGAUGUCGGCGGAAACCAUCUGGCUAGAGUCCGGAAGAGGAGAGUGGAAUUCCUGGUGUAGCGGUGAAAUGCGCAGAUAUCAGGAAGAACACCCGUGGCGAAGGCGGCUCUCUGGGACGGUACUGACGCUGAGACGCGAAAGCGUGGGGAGCGAACAGG
rnacentral:rRNA from 1 species